rnacentral:misc_RNA from 1 species
AAAACUCUUCAACAUUUCUCUCUGACUACUUCAUUUCCUCUUCCCAACAGUUAAAAAAAGUUCUGAUUCGAUUCAAGCCAAGAUCCACGUAUAAAGAUAUGUUCAUGCGUAGAGGUUUGG